rfam:Pongo abelii chromosome 1.
GUCUGUGGCCAUACCACCAUGAAUGUGACCAAUCUCAUCUGAUCUCGGAAACUAAGCAGGUUUGGGCCUGUUUAGUACUUGCAUAGGAGUUCUUAUAGAACAACACACCUUCCUGAAA